GACGAACGCUGGCGGCGUGCUUAACACAUGCAAGUCGAACGGAAAGGCCUCUUUCGGGGGGUACUCGAGUGGCGAACGGGUGAGUAACACGUGAGUAACCUGCCCUUGACUUUGGGAUAACUUCAGGAAACUGGGGCUAAUACCGGAUAGGAGCUCCUGCUGCAUGGUGGGGGUUGGAAAGUUUCGGCGGUUGGGGAUGGACUCGCGGCUUAUCAGCUUGUUGGUGGGGUAGUGGCUUACCAAGGCUUUGACGGGUAGCCGGCCUGAGAGGGUGACCGGCCACAUUGGGACUGAGAUACGGCCCAGACUCCUACGGGAGGCAGCAGGGGGGAAUAUUGCACAAUGGGUGGAAGCCUGAUGCAGCAACGCCGUGUGCGGGAUGACGGCCCUCGGGUUGUAAACCGCUUUCGCUCAUGACGAAGCUUUGUGUGACGGUAGUGGGUAAAGAAGCACCGGCUAACUACGUG
rnacentral:rRNA from 1 species